rnacentral:rRNA from 1 species
AAGUCCCGUAACGAGCGCAACCCUUGUCAUUAGUUGCUACGCAAGAGCACUCUAAUGAGACUGCCGGUGACAAACCGGAGGAAGGUGGGGAUGACGUCAAGUCCUCAUGGCCCUUACGGGUAGGGCUUCACACGUCAUACAAUGGUACAUACAGAGGGCCGCCAACCCGCGAGGGGGGGCUAAUCCCAGAAAGUGUAUCGUAGUCCGGAUCGCAGUCUGCAACUCGACUGCGUGAAGUUGGAAUCGCUAGUAAUCGCGGAUCAGCAUGUCGCGGUGAAUACGUUCCCGGGUCUUGUACACACCGCCCGU